GUCCUACAAAGGGGCCUGCCGUGCUGCGCAGCCGUGGCCCUGCAAAGGGGGCCGCAGUGCUGCGCAACUCCGUUUGCGCUGUUUUGCGAUGGACUCGCAACGGGGUCGGCGAGGGGUGCGCAGUGGGGUCUGGAAUGGGAUUGCGGCGGCGGUCUCAAACAUUUUGCAAUGAAUUUGCAGCGGGGUGCCGCAGUGAGGGUCUGCAACGCCCACGAGAGCUGCCCGUGCUUUGGGCCCUGGUAGGAGCGCAGCUUCCACCAACCCACCCCAGGUGAGGCACAAAGUGCUGCCGCACGGCCGGGCCCCUGCCAGGCCCUGGAGCUUCAACCCGUGCCUUAAGGGUCUCCCGUAUCGCCAGGGCCAGGCAGAGCUCCGCUGCUCAAAGGGGCAGGGCGGGAAGGCUUCGUGCACAUCCCGGCCUCAAUCGCUCCAGACGCAGAGAGGCCGCCGGUCGCAACCCCUCCCCCAGCCCCGGCGCCAGGUGCUGUGCUCAACCUUCUGCACCGCUCCAGCUGUGAGCCUAACUGCCGUGAGCCUGUCCGUACGCUUCCCACGUCGGCACCAGCCAUGCCCCAGAACUGCUCCCGAGCAUUAUUACAAGGCACGUCCCCUCCUGAUAACAAUCUGAUAACCUUAUGGAAAUAAUCACUGUGCUGGCACAGCUGUCGUGCCUGGGAAAACUCGUAUUUGCAUAAGCAAAAGGGAUAACUGGACACCUCCGUGCCUGUUUGUCAAAUAAAUUGCCGAUUUCGAUGUGCAAACAUACAUUUCUAUCGUUUCUAUCCACGUUGGAAAGUUUGCCCAGCAGGAAAACCACUCGUCGAGGUGGCAGGAAAACCACGCACGGCCACAGCAGCACCACGUGUGGGUGCCGUCGGGCAGCAAUAACACGCUCACGCCACAGGUGGCCUCACAGCACGCCCUGGCAGGGGCUGGCAGAGCUCACGGCACAUGCACUGCCUGCUGCUUGUGUGUGAUACCGCGAAAAGAUGCCCACCGCGCCUGCAAACAGCACAGACGCGCCUGCUCCGUGCCCCACCAGCAGCCGUCCCAUAGGGCAGCCGUGCUGGUAGCAGCCACCAUGUCAGCCCAUGAUUGAUCCAAGACAGACUCUUGAAAAUGAGCCACUGGCAUUGCAGCUCACAGAGAGGCUGCAGUGCUUUUAUUUUUUUACCUUUGUGCACCGGGAACAGCGCGCACUAUGGGCCGUGCGGGAAGUUGCAGUGUUCCCACUGAUGGCACUAAUGCUACCCUAUGGAAAUCUCCUUAAACCCAGCCCUAUAGGAACGGUGCACAACAAGGAAUAAUACCAAACAAAGCCGAAGUUUGGGCAGGUGUUGGCCAAAGGACUGGGAGAACGGAAGAAAGGACCUGGUUUAGGCUGGUUUUUUUCCCCUGCCAUUCCAUGGUGGCUGAAAAGCCAACUACGAGAAACCCCCUCAUCCACACAUAGAGAUGUUUUCUUCCUCUUUUUCCCUCCUCCUUUCCAUACGGCUCUAAUGCUGUUGCCUGGUAAGUGCCUCAGUGCCUCCACAACUUGUAGUUCAACCGCUGCGCAUACGUCCAUAGGAAAGCCACAGUCUCCUGAGUGUACCCAAACCAUACCAACUCUGUUCCAAAGCCGGAGCGGACAAACAAGACAAAACAUGGCUCCUUCUGAACACCACAGAUUGCUUACUGCACGUCAGCAGACUUAAACUAGAGAUAAAACUCAGCCCGCUGCGUUCACUGCGUGCACAGAAACGUGGAAGCACAUUACAGGAACAGGACAUUUUUUCCACAAGGCCUGUAGCCACAGUGCCAACAGUACUGCCUCCACCUCCUGUGCCUGUGCAGAACCCACCAGCUAUCACAGCUCUGCACACAGCAAGGGAGAAUGGCAGCUUUGGGGGAUAAUAGACAAAUAGAGCUUGAAAACGUCCUACCUUUAGCAGCUCUUGCAACGGAUGAACUUUUGCUCGAUUAUGCUCUCCUAGUGGAAAAUAAAAAUACAGUUUGUUUCUACGCCCAUGGUUGUGGAUAAACGUGAGCAGAGCUUAGCCCAGUUGUAGCUGCCCAUAUCUGCAGAUCAACAGCUCUGUAACUCUUUUGCCUUUCGGACCUCUUUCAAGAGGGAUAAUUAAGCUUGCCUGCUGCCCUGCGCAUUUUGUUGUUAGCUGUGAGCAGCCGGGACAGCUCACAGAACUCUGAUUAGUUCUGACUCAAACUCUGCACACAGGUGUUCUCAUAGGCAGAGAGGUGCUCGGGGAAGACUGAAGGUCACCCAUUCACACAGUGUAAAAGUUCAUCCGCAGUUCCCACGUGAAGGCAGAAGUCCUUGCCCUGACAGGCAACCGUACCAUUAAACUGCAAAACCCGAGGCCAAGACGGACAGCAAAGCAACGUGGGGACUAAAUCAUGGCAUUGGCUGAGCGUAAGCCUGGAGGCCACGAGCCCCAGAAAUAAACAACAGCUUCUGAGAACUGAGGCAGGGAAACUCUGACAAGCAUCUGUCUUUCUUGCAAGAGGCUCAUAUAUCCUGUGGGCUGUCAUUUCACGUCGUAUCAUACCAUAGCAGAACAACAGUCGCUUUGAAACGUACAUACCUGGAAUCCCAGCACAUUUCCAGCAGAAGAAAGUCACGUACUGCGGAGACAGAGGGCUGCGUGCUCUGACAGAAGAAUGCAGGUAGAAUCACACAUGGUAAACGAAACUGGGAGAAAACUGAAGUGAGGAAGUCUGAGCUCAAGAGAGGCGCUAAGGGUGGUGCUGCCAAAAGUCACGCUCUCUUCCAUGUCACCUGCCUGCAAAAGACAGCCAGUCAGCAAGCAUUGCUUCCAGCGUUGGAAAUGGUCUGUGGAAACGGGGGACCACCUCAACGAGGCAUCCUGCAGGAAGAGAAACACCUCCCAAAGGUGAGGGAAGAAAAUGCACUAGCAGAAGCCACACAACACAGGGGCAAAGCCCUCUGCCCAUGCUAGGCGUCACUGCCAAACAGAGCUCCUACAGAGCUCCUCAGUUGGUCACUAAGUAGCUGGGGAUAAGUGCAUCAAACUGAGAUGCUGUAAUGGGCAAAUGCUUAUACACAGAGAAUCUUAACCUCAUUUCACAUGUGACUUCAUCUUAGGUGACUUCACAAAUGCAAUUACUCUGCCACCUGCACAGCUCUGUAUGUUUUAUGUGCUCCUUUUACCCUCUAAAGCCUGAAAAACUAGUUAAUUUAUUAUUUUUCAUGAUCAGUCCCAGAUGGAUGAUGUCUGUCAGCAUUUACUGAUUUACAUAACAUUUAUCAUGUUCAAAGCUCUUUAUAAACACUAAGCAGUUGAUCUUCACACCACCCCUGUGCCCCAAGCAUUAGUACUUCCUUUUUACUGCCUGGAAAUUGUUAUGGAAAGUCAAAGCAAUCCUCACAGUAGUUAAGGUAACACCAGAACUCAGUACCUCCUCCAGCACAUCACACUUUCCUAAUUCAAACACAUCUACCACACCACCCUGCAAUAUUUCUUUUAUUUUUUAUUUUUUCCUUUCUGAUUUACCUAUAAAAAUCCCCUGCCCCACUCUGUCAGCUUUGCCUACUUUUUGGUCUCCAGUCCAGCUUAAGAGUCCAGUUCCCAAGGGGCUCACAAGUCAACUUCCAAAACGCUCCAAAAACAAAUCGGUACCACUUCUGUACGCUAAAAGACAUUGUAUCCCCCAGUGCCCAUCAAAUACAACUAAUGGCUUAAAAAAAAAAAAGACAUCUUUUUAAUUUAUUCUUUUAACGUGAGGUCCUCUAAAUUCCUUGUGAGUGCAGAACUGAGGUUCACUUAAAAUCAGGCCACAGCUGAGCUUUGGCAGAUUUUUAUUGUAAGCAAUUAAAUGGCUUAUAAACUAGAGGUAUUUCAGAACCAGCAUCGAUAACCAUUGGGAAGAAGUGAAACUCAGACUAGCUGCGUUCUUAGCUGCAGUGGAGCAUUCAGCAAUGUCAAACACCUUCCAAGCACAUACAAAGGGAAGUAGUUUGAUUUGUUAACAAUGAUGGCCUCACAUACAUAACUAUGGGCAAUGGAGGGUUUGAGUCACUUCUAGCUGCCAAAGGCAAGUGAGUAAGAAGAACUAGGUAGCAGUUAGACAAAAUUAGAAGCCUGCAACCCCUUCCUUGGGCAGUGUUUUUUCAUUCAACCUUGUCUAUAUUAGAGAAGAGCAGUGGUACGUGGCUUAAACUCUACUGGUACACCACCACCUUCCAGCCCCUCAGCACACAAAGGCUCUGUGAGCCUUCCUCUCAUUUGGGUCAUAACAUCAAUGCAAAAAACAAGACCACAAGAACUUAUCUUUACCUUUCUCCUCUUUAAAAACACUUCUCCCGUGGUGGUUUAACUGGCCUUAGUUCUAAUACUCCCUAGACUAAAUCCCCCCCCAACAUUCAGUGCAGCAAUUCGUAACUUACAGGUUUGCCUUCACACUCAGUGCAAGGAACAGCACGAAGGAAAAGGCAGGUACAUGAGAAUAAGAUAAACCACUGGUAAACUGGAGGAACUGGAACAAGCUAAAAGUGAAAUCUUUAGGAAAGCAAUUAGAGAUCUGCCACGUCAGCAUGAAGACACCUUGUUUGGCUCACCAGGAAGUGUAAUUUAGACCCUGGUUACCUCUGCUGAGGGUACAUCUGCUAAUGUUCUUCAGAAUUGCAGCAGGCCUCCCUGCUUUACAGCAACUAAAGAAAGGAGGAGGCACUGCUGCUAACUGCCUUUCCCUGGUAGCCAAGUAUAUAAGCUUCAGUGCCUCCAAUCAAGGCUGAUGAAAUCUGUCCUUCUCUGAAACGAGUGCAUUCCUCCAAGCCCCAUGGAGAAAGCAGUGGCGAGCAGAAGUGGGUUCUCCCUCCUUGCAGAAGAAAACAGCGAGUCGGUUCCAGCUUUUCUGAGCAAACCAUUGGUGGAUGCUGCUGCCAAAACUGGGAACUGAAAUGGCACACAGCCUGCCCUUCCCGCGGGACCAGGAGGAGCGUGGUCAUCAGUACAACUUUUCAAACAGAAGAGGGAGAUCCAUCAAUUUUGUGGUUGCAGCGUGUCCCAGGCAAAAUUUCGUUAUUGGUUUCAUCUGGAUUAGAAUUAACCGUUAAGGCUUCUCUACCUUACACUUCCUGAUCAUUUCUGCUCCCUUUUGCAAUAAAACAGAGCAAGGUUGUAAAUGGGCUGGAGGGAAUGGGGAAUACCCAAAGCCAGUUGGUAGGACCACCUGCUCAGGAGAGGAACUGACUUGAUAUUUGGUAUCACUAGGCUAGGCACCUUCCUUCUGACCAUGCGCUAUAGCAAAAUGGCAGGGAAUAUAAACUCGUGUGGCAUCAAAUUGUUUCAUCAACAUACAAAUAUUAACACCCACAUGUGUAUGAGGCAUUGCCCAUACCUUUGGGGUCUGUUUCCUCUAGGCGACUGUUGGCUAACCUGUAGGCGUCUCAGGGCUUCAUGCCAGUGGAAAAGAAUACAUACAAAAUGUUUCUUUAAGGCAUGGGUUUGUUCAGCUACCCACGUUUGAAGGGAAUGAGAGAAUACGAAUUAGGCAUCUAGGCUGCAGUGCUGAGAAGGGUGUUUUACUCCUGCCCAUGUAGCUUUUGGUCUCCAAAACCAUAAAAGAAGCCAUUAUAACGUGACAAAGGAAUGACUGGGUGGCAAGUGUUGUGCCUCAACGAUACCACUAUUAACAACUGAUAUCUUAUUGGUGAGGAGAGUUAAGCUAUUAACGGCUAAUUUACGCCUCUUUCUUCACUGUGUGACUCAAACCAGUUCUGCAGUCUGUUACAGGUUAACUAGCCAGGGUUAGGCAGGGCGGGGCCUGGAGCAGAUUGCAAAACUGGUUUAUUCAACUUGCAGAGUGAGGAAACAUCCUUAAAAAUAGCCAUUCUAGAGGAAGACAAGAUGCCUUCCUGUCAAUUUUUGGCACAUCGCGUAACAAAACAGAUCUUUAGGCCCCCUCAGCUUUUGUUACUGCACUGAGACACCGUGUGCGGGUCACACACAGACAGAAGCCACCCAGUAUUGUGCCACAGCUGAGCAGCGUGCCUUUAAUUUAGCCCGGGGCUAUGCUCAGAGGCACACCCUCACCUGCAGCCUCUCUCCUCAGCAAGUGUGUGCCAAGUGCAGCUGGUUAAUAGAUCACAGAUCAGAGCGACCAGCUGCUUCAAGCAUAUGGGGCGAUGGAGGAGGGGAGGCUACAAGGCCCUUCUGUGAACGUGUGAAAUGCAGGCCUGGAGGUCAACAGGUGAUUUCAAGUAAGGGAAGAGGUAGAAGAUGUCUGUACUGAGUACAGUAAAAGAGAAAGGGAGUGCAGUCUGCUCUCUCCAGCAGUUUUGUUCCUCCUGAGGGAGCAGGGUGAAAUGCAGGCGCUGAGAGCUUCCCUUGUGAGGUGGGCCUUGUGCAGCUUCACCUGGGCACGGGCGGUACCACGUGAGGCAGUGGCACAGGUGUAUCUGAAACCUCCUCCGAGGUUAAGCUGAGGAAGAUGGAGUACGGAAAGCAUUGGAAUAAACGAUUAAGUUCUAUUAAAAGCCUAUUGUGUACGUGCUAAAAUGCGACUGAUGGUUUCAGAAUCUCUUGCGCUCUCUUGUCAUCAAUGCACAAUUCUUUCUGAUUGCUUCCAGACAAUUCAGAUCUCGGCACUGAGCAAAAAUAUCAGAGAGGGAUGGAAUAUACGAUCUACUUUUCUUUAUGCAGUCUUUAUCAUCGUCAUUGUCCUUGGGAAUUUUCCCAGUUCUACAGUGACAGGAAGAUCAUCAGAAACUGAGAGCCUCACUUCAACUCACAUUAGUGGGCCCUUCAUGUUGUUCUGGCAAUACAAAAAGGCCUUCAAGUCAAACCUAAUUUGAAUCCCGCUUUAGCAAUCCUUUAUGUUGUCAUAGCAGUGUAAAUUUGUCCCUACGUAAAUGUAAUGCAGCCACAUUCUGAAUCUCUGCACUGUUACGUGGCAUUAGAAUGGCGAGACACCCAAGCUGACUAAAGGGAGACUGAGGAGCUUCCUGCACAGGAAGGUGUUGAGAAGUUGAGGCCAGCAUAUGGCAGGGUGGUCUGGGAGGAUUUGAUCCUGCCCCAGUGCAGGGUUAGACUGAGAGAUCUUAUGAGAUCCUUCGCACUUCUGCAGUUAAAAGGGGUUAUGUUUCCUCAAGAGACAAUUUAUUUGUGUCAGCCUGCAUAGUCCAGUCUUAUCCUCAGAUCACUGUUCCAUACUUUUGCAAAGGUUAUCAGUUUACCUACUGUAGUAGUGAAAAUUAAAAAAAACCACAUUCCUGAAAUUGACCCCUUUUCCAACAACAUAUUGAAGAAAAGCAAACAGAAGUAAAUUAUCUGUGGUAUCUCUAAGUUUGCAUCUUUUACAUUUGCUACAGCAUGAACAUGCGUUCCCACUUUGCUCUCCUAAGCUGAAUGGUGAACUAUGAUUCGCUUUCCAUCUUUACAUUCUCCCAAACUGUUUCAUGUCCUGAUUCCCUAGAAGGAAAGCUGGGUUUUUUGUUUGUUGUUUUUGUUUUCCCCUCAAAGACAUUGAUUUUAAAAUGAAGCUGCUGCCUUUGUUUCUGAGCACAGUAGACCCUAUUUGUUUUGCAGCAACAACUGUGGGGAAGGGACCUUCACGAGUCCUCCGCUGAAUCUCCAGAUUUAACAGCUACAGCAUCUAAAACCAAAAGCAAAGUUUCCAUCAAGUGUUCAUCCACAGCCCUCCUGUCCCUUCUCCGUGGAAGUGGACUGUUUCAAACCCGAGUUUUUUAAAUGUCAUGAUGCUGCCUUAGAGAAGAGGCAUUGGAACACUCGCACUGGUGGUACUCAAACAAGCUGUCCUCCCCUGCAGGCUCAGUUACCUCUACAGGCCGGUGUAGCCCUGCUCCCGGUUUUCAGUGAUUAAAAAAGACAUUUCAUUUUGCGUGUGCAUUACUGUCAGCUUUUUGCAGUGCCACAUUUGUGACAGAGGCAACAGCCCCAAAGGAGCUGGACUUGAGCUAGCAUUUCCCUUUGGUAGAGUCAAUGAAGCAGCCGUCGGUCAGAGCUGCGGUCUGGGUGAGUAGUAUAACGAGGGCUGCAGUCCAUAAUUUUGCACUGCGUAUUUCCUCCCUAUGGAGUUGCAUGGCUGGUUUAUUGAAAUCACACACAAAGAGGUCUUAGUGCACUUCUUAGCAGAUUCUAUCAGAAAAAAAAAAAAAAAAAAGAAAGAAAGAAAAAAACUCAGCCUAAUUGUGAAAUAUGCUAGUGGGACCUGCAGAAACCUGGGCUAUACUCCUGGCUUCUGUGACCAUUUGGAGAACUGGCUUGAAAAAAGUCUUUUAACCCUUCUGUGUUUCAAUUUCUCUCACCUGUAGAAGAGAGAUGCACACCCUCCAUGCUAAUGCUUUAUGCUGGUGUGUGCUGAGCACAUUCUGGGAGCAAGGCUAGGCAGGCCUGUCCUGCUGCUGACCUCCAACACCUGCUCUGGAGGAGCUUCAGCUCCUGUGGCGGCCAACACAGGACCUUUCCCAGCACUCUAUUCACUAAACAAACACGUCUUUUUAUUAUGAUGUUGUUAUUGCGGUUAGUUGACAGAAACCCCAUAAAACUUGAUGUAAAAAUAAUGAAAGCAUUUAAUAUUACAAAAAAAAAAAAAAUGUUGAUACUAAGCACCAAGUUGGCAUGACUAACAUCGUAACAUCGAACACAGCAAAUCUACCAACGCUCCUUCUGCUCACCGAGAGGCUUAGGCCACUGUGGACAGACUCCGUGGGUCCGGACAUCCUCUCGCCACACGCCUCCCUCAGCAGGGCCCUUCUGCUGUUGCUGAAACUACUUCACAAGCUUUAAGCAUGGCUCUGGGCUGUGCUGCUCAACCCUAAUCCAGAAGUCGCAUUCGUUGCGGCAAAGGACUCUUUCCUUCCUGCCACUGCUUCGUGCUCUGGAUCACAAGAAAACCCUUCCGUCCCCACCCUCUGCCCUCAUAAUGGCUGCAUCUCUUUGUUUGACACGAGCCAUUCUGCAAGCUGAACUUCUCAUUUUUAAAAUGCUGCUCUGCAGGCCGGUCAUUAGAGUUGGUCUGCACUUACUCCCUACCUUGGGUUGAUCUUUCAUAACGUGUUAAACACUUUUUGAAAGUUUGGCAUUUCUGUGGGGGAAAUACAAAUUUGCAUUUGAGAUACUUUAAAAUAAAUAUUUAGGAAAAAUAUAAACGUUAGCAAAGUUUUGUUUAUCUUAGUUUUUAUGGCUCCACUGAAUGUCAGAACAGCUGUAUUGACUGCAUAAAAUAUAUUUUCUGGAGUUAGAAAUAUAUAGCCAUCUGUUCAGCUCGUAACAUGUGUUAAUAGGUAUCUCAAAUUUCAAUUCAAGAAAUAGCAAUCUUAAUAAAUAACGUAACAGCAGGAAACCUGGGUUAACUAACAGGGACCUGGCCGUAAUGGUGCUACAUCUGUGUGAGUUAGUCAUUACAGAAAUAUUCAGGUACAAAGUUCUCGGUUUAAGUGGGACCUUUAGCUAAGAAGCAUUUGUCUCGAACUGUCAGGAAAUGCAGUUUUCUAUGACAAAGACAUUCCCAAAGAUUUCCACCUGGCACUGACACCUGGAGACAUUUUACAGAAAUGAGAGUUCUUUACUAACCACGUGCACACCCAGACCUCAUGGAUUUCUCCUAUGGGCUUGGUGUGCCAGAGGUGACCCUUGCAGAUAAGUUCAGACCAGCCUGGCUUUGAAGUUCAAGCCACUACCUCUAGAGAAGGAAAACCAUCCACGCAAAAUGCCUGAGUUAAGAUCACCAUUAAAUUACUCUCCAGUUGUACAGCCCUUGUAGGACAAUAACCUAUUUAAGUGGUCUCACUGCAGGAUAAUGGUCAGCUCUGAAUUUAACCUGAAAGGUGAGCUACUACUGGACAACAGUGCCCUAUUAUGCUUAUGCAGAAAGUAAAGCGAAUUACAAAAUAAAGUAUGAUCUUUACAUUUCCUUUCUGCUCCAAAAGGCUCUUCUAUUUAUUCAUUUAUUUCUCCUGCACAGUAAUUAACAGUGUGAAGGCCUGUAACUCCGGGUCUUUGGUUGCCAAGAUGAAAAUGUCACUUUCAAG
ensembl:lncRNA